rnacentral:rRNA from 1 species
CCUACGGGCGGCAGCAGUGGGGAAUAUUGGACAAUGGGGGGAACCCUGAUCCAGCCAUGCCGCGUGUGUGAAGAAGGCCCUCGGGUUGUAAAGCACUUUCAGUGAGGAAGAACGCCUGGUGGUUAAUACCCAUCAGGAAAGACAUCACUCACAGAAGAAGCACCGGCUAACUCCGUGCCAGCAGCCGCGGUAAUACGGAGGGUGCGAGCGUUAAUCGGAAUUACUGGGCGUAAAGCGCGCGUAGGUGGCUUGAUAAGCCGGUUGUGAAAGCCCCGGGCUCAACCUGGGAACGGCAUCCGGAACUGUCAAGCUAGAGUGCAGGAGAGGAAGGUAGAAUUCCCGGUGUAGCGGUGAAAUGCGUAGAGAUCGGGAGGAAUACCAGUGGCGAAGGCGGCCUUCUGGACUGACACUGACACUGAGGUGCGAAAGCGUGGGUGGCAAACAGGAUUAGAUACCCCAGUAGUC